GAUGAACGCUGGCGGCGUGCUUAACACAUGCAAGUCGAACGGAAAGGCCCAAGCUUGCUUGGGUACUCGAGUGGCGAACGGGUAAGUAACACGUGGGUGAUCUGCCCUGCACUUCGGGAUAAGCCUGGGAAACUGGGUCUAAUACCGGAUAGGACCACGUCUUGGAUGUUGUGGUGGAAAGUUUUUUCGGUGUGGGAUGAGCUCGCGGCCUAUCAGCUUGUUGGUGGGGUAAUGGCCUACCAAGGCGUCGACGGGUAGCCGGCCUGAGAGGGUGUACGGCCACAUUGGGACUGAGAUACGGGCCAGACUCCUACGGGAGGCAGCAGUGGGGAAUAUUGCACAAUGGGCGCAAGCCUGAUGCAGCGACGCCGCGUGGGGGAUGACGGCCUUCGGGUUGUAAACUCCUUUCGCUAGGGAAGAAGCGUUUUUGUGACGGUACCUGGAGAAGAAGCACCGGCUAACUACGUG
rnacentral:rRNA from 1 species